AAUAUAGAAAAGAAUGAUUAUGCACCACAUAUGAUUAUUUCAAGGGGAACACCUACUUUUUUAUUUUAUCAAAAGUAAUAUAUAUUAUAAUUUUACAGUGUUUAAACAUGGGUUCUAUAUUUUUAUACACACAUGCAUGCUUUGUGUAUAGUUCCUUACUCGUUUGCUGGCUAAGUCGUUCACUUUUUAUUUAUAUAUUUUUUUUUAAAUAAAAUUUUAGCGGUAAAGGAAUUAAACUGGAUGAGUACAAACCUAAUGACGUUAUUAACAAACUUGAUCAUGUAAAUUCUUUUUUUGCAUUUUCUUUUUAUUUUCCCUUUUUAUUUUAAAUUAUAUUUUUAUGCAUUUCUCAUUUUUUACAAUUUAUAUUUUUUAUUAUAGUUAAUCAGAUCGCCUAAAAACAUUAAAGAACAAAUGCUAGAGAAGAUGGAAUUAAUACAUACAAGGAUGCAUCAGUUUGGCUUACUAACUAUGUGGUACGUUUUAAAAAAAAAAAAAAAACUAAAACGUAAUUGUUAACCUCUUUAGUAUAUAUAUGAGUGAAAAACCUUAAUGUAUUAUAAAAUUACGCUCUAUAUUUUUGUUAGGAUGACAGAAUCGAAAUUUAUAGAAAACAUGCUCAUAAAAAGACACAUAAAGGAUUUACCAGAAAGCAACGGUGAAGAUAUCAUAUAUAAUGAAGUAUUAACAUCAUUAAUAGAAGAAGACAUGCAAAGAAACGAUUUAAUUGAAGAUAGCUUAAAUUACACUAAUGAGAAAAUUAAGGAAGCUGAAAAAAGUUGUUUUAUAGCAGCAAUGGUAAAUAUUUAAAUCUAUAUUAAUUAAUAUAUUUUUGUAUAUAUUCACCUAUACAUAUUUAUAUAUAAGCAAUUGUAAAUAGUUUCCACGUUACACAUAACUAUUGUUGAAUAUAAGCUAGCCAUUUUUUUUUUUUUUUUUUUUUUUUAAUAUAUUACUUUAGAU
rnacentral:lncRNA from 1 species